UUCAAUAGACUCAACUUCAGAUGGUCAUACGAUGAAGAUAUUGAUGCAUCUCUCCUGGGCCAGAUCUCAAAGCAUCAUCUUCUACACUAGAUCAAAUGGGACAGCAUUUCUGUGGGACUUGCCGGCCAACAAAACAAGCAGGUGAUGGAACCAAGUCAGGGAGGAAGCAGGAGACUCAACAGGCUUGUCAGUGUAGACACCCAUCAUAGACACCAUCAUCAUCCAUGUCUCCCACUGUGGGGAGGAAGCUGGGGAGACAACAGGAGGCAGACACACUGGCACACAGCUUGGGCACUCCGAGACGACUGCAGACACUGAAGUCAUCUGCAUGGAGAGGCUCACAUCUAAGGGUCUACAUUGAGUCUUGGAAAAGACUCUGGAUUCAGACAUUUAAGCCAUGUGGGAACUAUAAAGACUUUGGGGAGUUUGGGAGAUGGAUUGGACACAGUUUUCAUUAUGACAUGGAUAUGAGUCUGCUGGGAUCAGGGGUAGAAUGUUUGGAGAUGAACAGUUCCCCGAAAGACUCAUACACUGAAGACUUGGUCUUCUUGGUGGUCUAAUGAUUGACUGGUACUUGAGUCAUGAACGCUCUGACCUUAUCAAUGGCCAAUCCACUGAUGGAUAUAUGGUUUUAUGUGUUACUGAGGAAAAAUGGAUAUUUUUGGAGGUUGGGCUUGAUUGAAGAAAGCAGAUCAGCUAGACUGGGCUUUUCAAGAAUACCUGUUGCCUGCUCCCGGCUUUGAGCUCUGUGCCUGCUUCUGUCACCUCUAUCUGCUUCUGCCGUAACCCCAUCCUACCUCAGGCUCAAGCAUGCAGUCAGUCAUCCUGAACACAAAUGCUUGACACCCUGAGCCAAUGUAAAUCCUCAAAAACGGUUUCUUUCAAGCAUUUGCCACAGUACAAAACCUACCACAAUGCUGCAGGGGACACAAGCGCUGAGGACCCUAUGCUAAGGAGCUUGUGUCCAGUGGGAUCGACAGCUCGAGUGGCCAUGGCUGGUGGCUGGUUGAGAAAAGCAGAUACAGGCUUGAAUGGGAUGGGGAGUCAUAGGCCGAGGCUUGAAGCAAGGACAGUAGAAAGACAGGCAUAGCUCUGGGCUCUAACUAAGCAAUAUCAGAGUGGUGUGGCUGUCAUCGAAUGGGCACUGGGAUGGAGAAGAAAGAUCGGAUUUGGCAUAAAAUGCUGUACUCAGAUUUAAGGAUCACCGGAGGAGAUUACCCAGGAGGCCAUGGAUACAUAAGCCUCAUACUCAGGAGGAAGUCCAGAGCUGGAGAUGAUGUCUAGUGCUAUCACUGGGACAGUUGCUAUGCUGUGGAGGGGAUGAUGGCACUGUGUUGAGUUCCUGCUCUCAGGAGACUGAAGGAGAAAUGACUCUGCCAUAAAACAAACAUCAGCCUUGUCGUGCAGUCUGACCUGGCUUGUCCCUGUCCUGCAAACUGGAAAGAGGUGUGUGGCCCAGGAUUGGGGGUUUAGCGGUUGCCACCAUAUCUGAGGGAAGGGUCAGUGAGCCACAACUCAGGACUCUUGUGGGCUCUCAACCCAUCCAACUCCCUUCCAGGUCACUGCAGAAAGCUGAGAACGGCCCUGAGAAGAGGUGGGUGUGAGGUCUGGGGAGAGUGGACUCUUGACUAGAGUCUGAGACCCCUCAGUCAGAAGGAGAGUGGGAAAGCCACAGAGGAUGCAGGGGCAGGGCUGGAGGAGGCCCUGUCACAGGCAAGGAUUUCUCCAUAGCCCAGAAGGCUCCAAGAGGGGUCCCCAGACACUCACGGCAGAAGUCUUUUGUCCUCCAG